rnacentral:ncRNA from 1 species
AUGUUGUAUGAAAGGAGAGAAGGUUAGCACUCCCUUUGAUAAGGAUGGAAGAGGUCCUAGUAACCUUUACAACAUGCAUAUGGUUAAGACAUUGCCACUUACUUAAUGGCUCCUGACCAAGUUUUUUA